ACUCCUGCGGGAGGCAGCAGUGGGGAAUAUUGGACACUGGGCGCAAGCCUGAUCCAGCCAUGCCGCGUGAGUGAUGAAGGCCCUAGGGUUGUAAAGCUCUUUCACCGGAGAAGAUAAUGACGGUAUCCGGAGAAGAAGCCCCGGCUAACUUCGUGCCAGCAGCCGCGGUAAUACGAAGGGGGCUAGCGUUGUUCGGAAUUACUGGGCGUAAAGCGCACGUAGGCGGAUCGAUCAGUCAGGGGUGAAAUCCCAGGGCUCAACCCUGGAACUGCCUUUGAUACUGUCGAUCUGGAGUAUGGAAGAGGUGAGUGGAAUUCCGAGUGUAGAGGUGAAAUUCGUAGAUAUUCGGAGGAACACCAGUGGCGAAGGCGGCUCACUGGUCCAUUACUGACGCUGAGGUGCGAAAGCGUGGGGAGCAAACAGGAUUAGAAACCCCAGUAGUCCCAUGAU
rnacentral:rRNA from 1 species